rnacentral:misc_RNA from 1 species
CGGGAUCGCCGCUUCAAAGAUCUUCCUACUCACCAUGGAAGAAGCGAAGGUGAUCGAGGCGAAGGACGGCACCAUCUCGGUCGCAUCUGCAUUCCCUGGGCAUCAAGAAGCUGUGCAGGAUCGGGAUCAUAAGUUCUUGUCGAAGGCUGUGGGUGAGGCUUAUCAGGGUGUUGAUUGCGGCGAUGGGGGGCCCUUUGGCGCGGUUGUUGUUCAUAAGGAGGAGGUGAUUGCGAGUUGCCAUAAUAUGGUGUUGAAGAAUACGGAUCCGACUGCGCAUGCCGAGGUUACUGCGAUUAGGGAGGCCUGUAAGAAACUCGGAAAGAUCGAGCUCUCUGAUUGUGAAAUAUACGCAUCCUGUGAGCCGUGUCCUAUGUGCUUUGGCGCAAUUCACCUUUCCCGCAUUAAGAGGCUGGUGUAUGGAGCCAAGGCGGAAGCUGCAAUUGCUAUAGGUUUCGAUGACUUCAUCGCGG